UAUGCUUUAAUAUAUGACGUAUUAAAAUUUUUGAUAUUUUAAGAAAUAGUUUGAUUCUAUUAAGUAUAG
rnacentral:tRNA from 1 species